UUGGGUUUUGUUUACUUCAAGGUCUGAUACAGAAACUGGAGUAAUUUUCAUUUAAUUAAUUAGAGAUUUUUAUUGUUUAUUCGUUUGCCACCCGGCUUUUGUUUUGGGUCCUUUAAAUUCGAGAUCAUUCAGUGCGGCGUUCUUUUUGUAACGAGAUCCUCUUGCAUAGUGAUCGGACGGCCGUAUAAGGGCCUGGAGCCCGGCAUGCCACGUGCUGCCGUGGCGUUCCAUAUUUUGUGUGGUGCGUUCUGUCAGUCUGACUGGCAGAAACAUGCUAAGGGUGGGAGUGCUCCGUGGAGAUCCUCGGUCUGCAGUCUGCAGGUCUUCGGAGUCGGGCAGAAUUACAGAAGUAGAAUUUAACAAGAACUUUUACAAUUUUGAUGUGCAAGGAAACUUUCUUUGGCGUUAC